CUUAGCAUACUGAAUGUUUUCACUAAGAUGAUUCAUGCUUUCCUACUCCAACUGUGAAAUGCAUGAAGAUUAAGGACGAGAGUGUGGUUACCUCUUGUGACAGUGAAGAAAUGGGGCUUCCCUCGCUGUAACUCACAGAGGAACAACGAUUUGGGCUUCCAUCUGCUAUCCGUGAUACGGGCUCGCUGGCCUGGGCCCAACGGGCUGACUCGGUUAAGGCCCGCGAUGGGGGCGAUUUGGGCUUGACGGGCCUUUGGGACUGGGCUGCGAUUCGGGCCUAAAGAAGAGGCCCAAAGUGCUUGUUUGAAAACUUACAUUCCGUUUCCUUCCUUCGUGUAAUUUAUUUGAAGUUAGUUGAUAGUUUGUUGUGUAUGUAAAAUAUAUUCGAACACCUUUAGUCCGAAAUCAACUUUAUGUUCCAUUUUAUAAUUA